rnacentral:rRNA from 1 species
UACGUAGGGUGCAAGCGUUGUCCGGAAUUAUUGGGCGUAAAGAGCUCGUAGGCGGUCUGUCGCGUCUGCCGUGAAAGUCCGGGGCUCAACUCCGGAUCUGCGGUGGGUACGGGCAGACUAGAGUGUGGUAGGGGAGACUGGAAUUCCUGGUGUAGCGGUGAAAUGCGCAGAUAUCAGGAGGAACACCGAUGGCGAAGGCAGGUCUCGUGGGCCACUACUGACGCUGAGAAGCGAAAGCAUGGGGAGCGAACAGG